rnacentral:rRNA from 1 species
AACGAACGCUGGCGGCAGGCCUAACACAUGCAAGUCGAGCGAACCUUCGGGUUAGCGGCGGACGGGUGAGUAACGCGUGGGAAUAUGCCCUUUGGUACGGAAUAGCCUCGGGAAACUGAGAGUAAUACCGUAUGUGCCCUUCGGGGGAAAGAUUUAUCGCCAAAGGAUUAGCCCGCGUUGGAUUAGGUAGUUGGUGGGGUAAUGGCCUACCAAGCCUACGAUCCAUAGCUGGUUUGAGAGGAUGAUCAGCCACACUGGGACUGAGACACGGCCCAGACUCCUACGGGAGGCAGCAGUGGGGAAUCUUAGACAAUGGGGGCAACCCUGAUCUAGCCAUGCCGCGUGAGUGAUGAAGGCCUUAGGGUUGUAAAGCUCUUUCGGCUGGGAAGAUAAUGACGGUACCAGCAGAAGAAGCCCCGGCUAACUCCGUGCCAGCCGCCGCCGUAA